ensembl:lncRNA
CAGAGGGAUAUUACAUUUUUCCUGUUUCAGUUAUGCAUUUCCUCAGUUACAGACAGCUCAAAGGAAGCACAACUUGAUUUAUGCAAAAGAAACAGUAAACAGCAAGUAGAUUCAGAUGACUGGUCAGGAACUCUCCACAUCACACUGAGCAACACUGAGCAGAACCAAACAGCCAGAUCUGCUGAUGGCCACCAUCCCUCAUAUACAGAUGAUGAAAGCAUACCUCUUUUUGAUAAGCUCAAACUUGUGCUUAUUGGCUGUCAUAAAGCUGGGAAAAAUAGAAUUGGAAAUGCCAUUCUCGGGAAGAAAGCCUUCACACACAAGAAUUUUCUAACAAAAGAAUACUUGAAGUGCAAAAAAACAAUUUUUGGAAGACGCAUUUCUGUGAUUCGUGUUCCUGGUUGGUCUGGAGAUUUGAGCUCUGAAGAUAACACGCAAGAAAAUGUUCGGCAGGUGAUAAAGGACAGCGUGUGGUCCUUCAAACAUGGACCUAAUGCCAUCAUACUGGUGGUGAAAAAGCACACUGAACUUUCAGAGACUACAAUAAGAACACUUUUGGGAGACAGUGUUUCUACACAUAUUUUAGUUGCUUCCACAGAUGGAAAAAGGAUUUCACUUGCUACCAUAAGUGAACACUAUUGCAACAAACAAACAAUUAUUAAAACAUACAGAAACAGGAAUCGCUUCUUUUGGAGAAGAACAUGUAGAAAGCAGCACAUGAAGUUAAUAGAAACAAUUGAAGAUUUUAUGGUGAGAAAAAAUGCCAUUCAUUUCUGUCCUACAGGAAAAGAGGAAGCGAAACCUGUACUGCAGCUUAUGCAAUUGAAAAUAGUGGUGAAUAGACUGAUUCAGAGGAUAUCAGGCCUUUCUGGGUCCAUCUCAAAAUUGCACUCAGGCAAGAAGACAGAGACAAAUAAGCUGCAAAAAAACAAAGAAUUAAAAAAUGAAGAAAUAAGAAAACUACAAGAUGCAUUGAAACAAAAAGAGGAAGCACUAAAAGUAAUGAAAGAGAAAUGGCUACAGCCAAAUCAAAGUGCAGAAAGGUUCUCUGCCCAGCAUGGAAGAAUAACACAGGUUGAGGAUGAUGGAACAAGAGAAGAUCUUCAGAGAAACAUAACAAAAGAUCAAAGAAUUGAGCAAAAAAAGUAG